AGUGGGGAAUAUUGCACAAUGGAGGAAACUCUGAUGCAGCAACGCCGCGUGGAGGAUGACGCAUUUCGGUGUGUAAACUCCUUUUAUAUAGGAAGAUAAUGACGGUACUAUAUGAAUAAGCACCGGCUAACUCCGUGCCAGCAGCCGCGGUAAUACGGAGGGUGCAAGCGUUACUCGGAAUCACUGGGCGUAAAGCGCAUGCAGGCGGUUUAUUAAGUUGGAAGUGAAAUCCUAUGGCUCAACCAUAGAACUGCUUCCAAAACUGAUAAACUAGAGUCUGGGAGGGGAAGAUGGAAUUAGUAGUGUAGGGGUAAAAUCCGUAGAGAUUACUAGGAAUACCAAAAGCGAAGGCGAUCUUCUGGAACAGUACUGACGCUGAGAUGCGAAAGCGUGGGGAGCAAACAGGAUUAGAUACCCUGGUAGUCCACGCAGUAAACGAUGAAUGUUAGUCGUUGGGACUCUAGUAGUUUCAGUGAUGCAGUUAACACAUUAAACAUUCCGCCUGGGGAGUACGGUCGCAAGAUUAAAACUCAAAGGAAUAGACGGGGACCCGCACAAGUGGUGGAGCAUGUGGUUUAAUUCGAAGAUACGCGAAGAACCUUACCUAGCCUUGACAUACUACAGAAUUUGACAGAGAUGUUGAAGUGCCUUCGGGAGCUGUAAUACAGGUGCUGCACGGCUGUCGUCAGCUCGUGUCGUGAGAUGUUGGGUUAAGUCCCGCAACGAGCGCAACCCUCGUCCUUAGUUACUAACGGUUCGGCCGAGGACUCUAAGGAGACUGCCUUCGUAAGGAGGAGGAAGGUGAGGACGACGUCAAGUCAUCAUGGCCCUUACGGCUAGGGCAACACACGUGCUACAAUGGUUAGGACAAUGAGAAGCGAUACCGUGAGGUGGAGCAAAUCUAUAAACCUAAUCUCAGUUCGGAUAGCAGUCUGCAACUCGACUGCUUGAAGCUGGAAUCACUAGUAAUCGUAAAUCAGCUAUGUUACGGUGAAUACGU
rnacentral:rRNA from 1 species